UACGUAGGUGGCAAGCGUUGUCCGGAUUUACUGGGCGUAAAGAGCGCGCAGGCGGUCGUUCAAGUCGCGUGUGAAAGCCCCCGGCUCAACUGGGGAGGGUCACGCGAUACUGAUCGACUCGAAGGCAGGAGAGGGUAGUGGAAUUCCCGGUGUAGUGGUGAAAUGCGUAGAUAUCGGGAGGAACACCAGUGGCGAAGGCGACUACCUGGCCCGAUACUGACGCUGAUGCACGAAAGCGUGGGGAGCAAACAGG
rnacentral:rRNA from 1 species